UGGGCUUAAGAAAAUCAUUCUAUUAUCCAAGAAUUCCAUAUCCAGUCAAGCUGAUACAUUUGCAAGAGAAAAGAAAAUACAGCAAAUAUUACCUGUGUAGAUUUCUAGAAAAAUUAUGAAAAGUGACAGUUCAUGGAGAUAAAAAUAAAAAUCAAAAACCUAAGAAGGAAGUGUUUUUGGAGCGGUUACCAUGUGCCAAACACCUUAAAUUUUUUAGUCCUCUCAAACAUUGCAGGUAAAAUCAAUAAUGAAUUUGGAAAAGGUAUGAUAUUUUACCUGCUAUAUAACAAGGCACUACGAAAAAAAAAUAAAGUGAAAUCUAAUGGAACAACAUAAAAUUGAUAAAAUGUAGUCACAGUAAGAAACAUUUACAUUUUUCUCAUCUUUAGUUAUUUUAGAAAAGAGGUUAGCAUAGAAAAUGAUUGACAUAUGCACAAUGUUAAUUUAGUAGAUAGAAAAUAUGAAAAUAAUAAUACAAUAGUAUAGAAAUAUGUAUAAAGUGGUUAAGGACAUUGCUUAAAGAGCAAUACCACCUGGCUACCAAAUGUGUUUCCCCCACUUACCCAGCUGGAUUUUGGUCACUAUACUUGCCAUCUUUCUGCCUCAAUUUUCUCAUUAGAAAGUGAAGGAUAAAACUAUGUGAUAAUUAAAUAAAUGCAUACAUAUAAAAUACUUAAAAUAGUACCCCAAACAUAAGUCCUCAAUUACUAUUAACUGCUAUAAAAAAUAUAAUACAUACAUACAGAAUUUGGCACUUUACUUGUAGAGAAUAUUCCUCCUUUCCAAAUAUAUUUGGGAUAUUUACAAAAAUAAUGAUAAUAUGCUACACAAUACUCAAUAAGUUAUUAAAGGUAGAAAUUGUAUAAACAACACUAAUGCACACAAAAAUCCUACAUUACCUUCCUGGAGUUCCUGUAGAGGCACAGCAGAAAUGAAUAUGACUAGUAUCCAUGAGGAUGCAGCUUCAAUCCCCGGCCUCAAUCAGUGGGUUGGGAGUCUGGCAUUGCCAUGAGCUGUGGUGUAGGUCCCAGACACAGCUCAGAUCUGGCAUCACUGUGGCUGUGGCAUAAGCCAUCAGCUACACCAGCUACAGCUCUGAUUCAACCCCUAACCUGAGAACUUCCAUAUGCAUUUGAGUGCAACCCAAAAAAUAAAUAAAUAAAAUAAAACACCUUCCUAAAUAACACUAAGUAAAAGAAGAAAUUGAAGUGCCUUUUAUAUUCUCUAGAAUGAUGUGUGUAUAUAUUAAAUCUGGAAUUCCCAUAGUGGCGCAGUGGUUAAUGAAUCCAACUAGGAACCAUGAGGUUGCAGGUUCAAUCCCUGGCCUUGCUCAGUGGGUUAAGGAUCCGGGGUUACUGUGAGCUGUGGUGUAGGUCACAGACAGACACGACUCAGAUCCCGUGUUGUUGUGGCUGUGGUGUAGGCCGGCAGCUGUACCUUCGAUUGGACCCCUAGCCUGGGAACCUCCAUAUGCCACGAGAAUCAGCCCUAGAAGAGUCAAAAAGCCAAAAAUAAAUAAAUAAAUAAAAAUACAUGUUAAAUCUAUGUAAUCAUAGUAAAACAAUAAAACAUUUAGAAUGCAACAAUCAAAAUCACCUUUGUAGCUUCAGAAUAAGCGAAGGUUUUUAAACAAGAAAUAAAAAUAUCUUUUUAAAGGAAAAAAAUUGAUGAACUAGAUGACAUUAAAAUUAAGAACUAUAGUCAUAAAAAAGAUAAUAUUGUGAAAAAACCUACAGAAGGAAGAAGAUAGGCAUAAUACACAUGUAACAAAAACCUCAUAUGCAGGAAAAAAAACUUUUAAAAAUCAAUAAGAAAUAGACAAAAAUUUGAACAGUUACUUCACAAAAUGAGAUACCUAAGUGGCCAAUAAACUAUGAAAAAAUACUAACUUUGUUAGUCAACAGAAAAAUACAAAUUAAAUCUAUAAUGAGAAACUGCUGCACACUUACCAGCAUGGCUGAAAUUACAAACAACAAUCAAUAAUAAAUUUAGCAAGGAUAUGGAGUAACCAAAUAUUCCAUCCAUUGCUGGUAAGAAUGAAAUUGGUACAACUAGUUUGGAAAACUGCCAGUAUCUACUAAUGCUGAAUACGUAUACUCCAGGUUUAUUCCCAACAGAAAUGCAUCCAUUUUUUCACCAAAACAUACCUGCUAGAGUGUUCAUAGCAGCACUAUUUAUGACACCCUAUAAUUAAAACUGACUCAAAUGUCCGGAAUGGAUAAACUAAUUGUGAUAUCUUCACAAAAUGAAAUAUUGUACAACAACAAGUAUUAAUGAAUUAUAACUACACAUGGCAAUAUAGCAGAAGCUCAUAAAUAACAAUGAGCCAAUGAUGUGACAUAGAAGACAGAAACAUACACAAUCCAUUUAUAUAACGUACAAAAAAGGAAAACUUAAUCUAUGCUAUUAAGCAUUAAGCUAUUAAUUCCUGGUAAGAGGGUUGCGACUAGAAGGGAAGGUUCUGGGAAUAUGGUAAAUUCUGUUUCUUUCUUUUUUUUUCCUUGGGCUUUUUAGGGCCACACCUGCAGCAUAUGGAUGUUCCCAGGCUAGGGGUUGAAUCAGAGCUGUAACCUCUGGCCUACACCACCGCCACAGCAAUGCCAGAUCCAAACCACAUCUGUGACCUACACCAUAGCUCAUGGCAAUGCUCGAUCCUUAACCCACUGAGCAAGGCCAGGAAUUGAACCCACAUCCUCAUAGAUACUAGUUGGGUUCUUAACCUGCUGAGCUACAACAGGAAUUCCCCUUAAAAUUAUCAUAAAAGAUAUUAUCCUGAAACAUCCAAACUAUGCACUUUCAAUGCUGUUACAUUAAUUUUUCUACUCAUGCCUUGGUACUGUUGCUGAACUGAAACUCUGACUGUCCAGUGCUGAAUAGAAAUGAGGAAACAGAGUUUUGGGUAAAGGAGAAAAAAAAAUAACUUUCAUUGCUUUGCCAGGCCAAGGAGGUCACAGCAGGCUAAUCCCCUAAAGAUUUUUCCCUCCUUUCCAAGAGAACAGGAGGUGGUUUUAUAGUUUGGAAUUGGAAAAUAGGGCCUCAGAUAAGGAUCAGGGUAGAUGCAGGCUUGUAUUCUUCUUUAAAGCUGGUGUUUAGUGGCCCCAGGACUGGUGAUUCUGGAAUGAAGAAGCCUUCAUCAAAUAGUUAAUAUCUUUCAUUAGGUGAGGGUUUUAGUUCUACAGAAGAGCUCAAAGAUAUUGCUAUCUAUAUUACUUGAGGAGGAACCAGGACACAACCCUAUUGUUUCUUGACUGUUCCUUGUUGCUGCAUCCUCUCCCUUCCUGGUUAGCAACUGUUUGAAUCUGCCCUUUGGAGCACAGAGAAAUUCAUGGAGACUAAAAGAGGCCUAUUUCCUACAGACAAGGAAAUGGGGGGACACAGAAAAGUUUUUAUGACCAGGAGCGCCACAGGGCCCUGCUCGGUUUCAGUACUACCCUUUUUAAAUUAUUGUAAUAGAUGAUUCCUUCCAUAUUUCUAAUAACUAAAUCUUUCAUCUCCUGUUUAGAAUGUUAUAAAGAGGAGCCAUACAAUAGAAACAUAAUGAAAGCCACAUGUAAGUAGUAAAAAUUGAACAAAUUAUAUUUAAUAAUAAUAAAUAAUAAUACCAUAUUGGUUAUAAUUAUAUUUUUAUAAAAACCAAUAUGUUUGAAAUAUUAUUCUAGCAUGUAAUCAAUCUAAAGAGAGAUAUUUGCAUUCUUUUUUUCAGACUAAAUUUUUAAAAUACGACGUAUAAAUUCUACUUACAGAGCAUUGCAAUUCAGAUUAGCCAUAUUCAGUUUCUCAGUGUGUAUUGAACAGCAUGGUUACAGAGAAUAUUUAAAGGUGGAAAUUUCUUAGAUUUAUUUUCUAAAGUAGUAGAAACAUGGUCUUAAAAAUUAAUAACAGCAAAAAAAAUCAUAGGUAAGUCUCAUUUAAGAAUGUAGAUGUAAAAAAUUACAAAGUAUUAGCAAAACAUUGAGAAUUACCUUAAAAUACAAACAUGUCAUUUAUGGCCAAGUAUGAUUAUUCCAGGAGCCUAAGAUGUAAUUCAAACUUGGACUCUAUUAAUGUUAUUUAUCAUAGACUGUGUAAAGGAAGAAAAAUUAUAUGAUCAGUUUGAUACCAGAAAUAUAUUUAGUUUAUAAAAUUUAGCUUCUGUUAUUUAUUAAAAAAAAAAAUCCUGGCAUUCCCUUUGUGGCAUAGGAGAAAUGAAUCUGACUAGUAUCUAUUAGGAUGCAAGUUCGAUCCUUGGCCUCGCACAGUAGGUCAAGAAUCUGGCCUUGCCGUGAGCUGUGGUGUAGGUUGCACAUACGGCUCAGAUCUUGUGUUGCUGUAGCUGUGGUGUAGGCUGCUUCAGCUUCAAUUCGACCCCUAGCCUGGGAAACUCCAUAUGCCAAAGUCAUGGCCCUAAAAAGCCAAAAAAAACCCAAAAAACCAACCCUCUUCUUAGCUAGCUUAGAUGGCUAAACAUGUUACAAACUACACAUUAGAAUUCAAAAGCUGAUAUCAAAGGUGAAAGUAAAAUACAAGUGUGAUUUUCAAUAAAGCCAAGUGUGACCUAAGAAUAGGAACAUCUUAAUGUUUAAAAGGUUCACUACAUAUUUUUUAAAUGUCAUUCUCCUCUCAUUUAUAAAUAUUUUGCUAGUGCCAUAGGUAUCAAAAUUAUUAAAGAUAUUGGUUGGAAAAACAAAAUAAGAGAGAAUGGUCAAGAGUUUUUGAGAAUGAGAUGUGGAUUGUUCUGCUAGGUAUUAAUAGAAAUAACAGAAAAAUAAGUAAAAUAGUGUAGAACAAGUAUAGGAAGAACAGCCAGAACAGUGAAACAAUGGAAAGUCCAGAAAGAUACUCAAAUAUUUACAGGAAUUUAAUACACAGUAAAAGAUACCUUUCAAUUCCAAUAGAGAAAAGAUGUUUCUUCAACAAAUGUUUGAAGAUUUAGGCACAAGAGUGUUUAUUGAAAUACUACACGUGUAAGAAAUAGGAAGAAACUAAAAUGACUAAGAUUUUGAAAUUUGUGAUAUAAAUUAUCAUAUAUUUAUGCAAUUAAAUAUAUUCAGCCAUUUUAAGUUGUACAUUAGAGGAAUAUUUAAAUCUAUAGCAAAAAAGUGUAUUAUAUAGUGUCAAUCAAAAAUGAAACAUUUUAUCCAAUAAAAAGUACUGUGUCUAUUUUUGUGUUCUUUCUGGCAGGUGAGAGAGAGAAGGAUCAGAAGAAUAUAAACUAAAAUAUUAACAUUAGUCACCUCCAUAUAGUAGAAUUCCAGUUCAUUUUUAUUUUCUGCAAGAAUUUUCCAUAUUUUAUGUAUGUUAACAUAAAAAUAUGUCACUUUUCUAAUAACUAAAAAAAAAAAAAAA
rnacentral:lncRNA from 1 species